GAAAUGCGAUAAGUAAUGUGAAUUGCAGAAUUCAGUGAAUCAUCGAAUCUUUGAACGCACAUUGCGCCCGUCAGCAUUCUGGCAGGCAUGCCUGUUCGAGCGUCAUUUCAACCCUCAGGACCCCCCUUUCGCGGGGAGGGACCUGGCGUUGGGGAUCGGCCCGCCCCCCGUGGUGGCGCCGUCCCCGAAAUCUAGUGGCGGUCUCGCUGCAGCCUCCCCUGCGUAGUAGUUACAACCUCGCAUCGGAGCGCGGCGCGGCCACGCCGUAAAACCCCCGACUUUCUGAACGUUGACCUCGGAUCAGGUAGGAAUACCCGCUGAACUUAAGC
rnacentral:misc_RNA from 1 species